rnacentral:rRNA from 1 species
CCUACGGGAGGCAGCAGUGGGGAAUAUUGCACAAUGGGGGAAACCCUGAUGCAGCCAUGCCGCGUGUGUGAAGAAGGCCUUCGGGUUGUAAAGCACUUUCAGCGAGGAGGAAAGGGUGUAAGUUAAUACCUUACAUCUGUGACGUUACUCGCAGAAGAAGCACCGGCUAACUCCGUGCCAGCAGCCGCGGUAAUACGGAGGGUGCGAGCGUUAAUCGGAAUUACUGGGCGUAAAGCGUGCGCAGGCGGUUUGUUAAGCGAGAUGUGAAAGCCCCGGGCUCAACCUGGGAACCGCAUUUCGAACUGGCAAACUAGAGUCUUGUAGAGGGGGGUAGAAUUCCAGGUGUAGCGGUGAAAUGCGUAGAGAUCUGGAGGAAUACCGGUGGCGAAGGCGGCCCCCUGGACAAAGACUGACGCUCAGGCACGAAAGCGUGGGGAGCAAACA